AUUUUUUCUUUUCUUCUUCUUCUUCUCUUCCCUUCACCGCCAAACAUUUUGAAGACAUCCAACUUCCAUUUUUAUUCCUUCUUCAAUUUGCAGAGAACAUCUAAGAGAGAGUUUGGAAGAAGAAGAGGAAUUUUACUAGAAUUUUGAGGUUGAAGAAGAGAAGGAGAACUCAAGCAAAGUGUAUCCAUGGCUGAAUUUUGGUUCAUUAUGCACAUCACUGGUUUUUAAUUCGGUUUGAACUCUUCAAAAGGAAUUAAGAGAAAACAGGGAAUUGGUUUUCACUCGAAAUCAGAAGGUCUAUGAUUUUUCUUGUAUUUCAGAGUGUACCGGUGGAGUUAGGAUCUCUAUUUCAUAUGGUUGGAAAGAUUAUUCAACUUACUACAACUUUGAUGAAGAAAUUGUGAACCAAAAAUGACUAAAAAUCAGUUAAAUUGUAUGGACAAGUUAAAGGGGUCGUGUGCGCACGAUUCUGGAAGUUGUACUGUUUCGAGGGUUAUCUGAGUUUAUUCAUAGGGAAUCAGAUUUACAUGUCUUCAGGCCGAGAAGAAUUAAACCGAGCUUAUAGAUCAAGGAUCUAGCCCAAGACGGUGAGUGACAAAACCAACUUUGAAAUAUAAUACAUAACUGUUAUUAUGAUUGAAUGCGAUAAAUGUUUACUUACGAAGCUAUGAAAGGUAUUUGAAUUUCAUGACUAUUUUCAAGUAUACAUUUGAAGACUAGAUUUCUUAAAGAAAUUUAUGCUAGCACGUAGAUAUUAAAUGUUUGGAAAGUAUUUAAACCACAAUGUUUUAAGCAAAGCAUGAAUUAGUAAGAAGUUUUGUUUUAAGAACUAUAGUUUUUCACGAAAGAGUUGAGUAAAGUUCGAGCUUUGUGUAAGAUUUAUAAGCAGGCAUUUUUUUAAUAUUUUUAGAUGAUUUAUGAAAUUUUCAUUAACUACAUGACUGAGUUCUUGAGCCUGAGGCUAGAGAUUUUCGUGUGGACACUGGUUAGAUUCUGUUGUUGACGUUGAGUGUACUUCGUAACAACGAUGCUGUCGUGAGUGCUGGGUGGGUCCCACUACAUCGUAGAGCUUGUAAACGUUGUUGUACUAUGUGUACCCUACACAACGUAGAUUUGUCAUGUUAGUUAAAAUUCUUCGAUAUACUUGAUAUGCCUUGCUAGAUUUCAAUGAUGAACAUGCUGAGUAUUUAAGGAAGCUAUUCUUACUACUACACGUUUACAUUUACGACUUGUAUAAAGAGAUUUAUAUGUGUAAAGUUUUCACGUGCUCUUAUCUUUAAAUUCAUAGUUUUAAACUGAGUCACUCACUAAGCUUCAUAGCUCACCCUUUCCAAAAUGUUUUACCCAUUUUCCAAGUAGAGAUCGAGUUCCCGGUGCCUGAUAGACUGCCUUAGUCUGCUGAAGCUCCGUUAUCGAUUGUCAGUACGUGUUUUGAGUUAGGCAUAGAGUCUAUUGUGUUAUGAUGUAUAUACACCCUUGUAUAUUAUAGAUACUCCACAGUUUGUAUAAGCUUUAGGAGCUGUAGUUGUGUAAAUUUUUGUUGGUUAUAUUUUGAUUAAGGUGUCUUUAGGUUUACCCGUGAAAUCAGUAAAUUUUGAGGUACACUUCAUGUAUGUGUUUGACUAGCCUAGGAUUCGCUGUGUUUUGUUGCAUGUAUAACAGUUUAUAUACUAGAUUGGCAAGUUCAUCACAUGAAAGUUUUAAGCAGAGUCGACAGAUAGAGGUACAGAAAAGCGUUGUUCGUCGGCUUCACGCCAUCUUUCGGUCUAAGGUAGCAGGUAGUCCGGGAGGGGGUGUGACAACUACUUUCUAUGUGCUAAUUGCGAUGAAUGUGUGCAAACCAUUAACCUUGUUUCUAUGAAGUGAGCAAUAAUUAUAUGGUGUUGCACAUAAUUUGAAUUUCGUCGUGUGGAUGAUCGAUGCAAUAAGAAAUGAAUCAGAAAACUUUCCAGAUGUUGUAGAGGAGUGAACAUCACAGUAGCUCAAUCACAAGAUACUGGCGAGAGUGAACCGCAGUAGACUUGGCGAGGGGAAUGAUUCAUGUUCUUGGUGGAAAGAAAUAAGACAAGCUAAUAUGAGAUUUCUAUGAUUUAUAAAAUGAAGCGCUCGAAGAUGCAACUGAGAAAUGAAAAUGAAUUUGUGCUUGACUUGUAUUCCCAAAAAGGUUUCCUAAAAUCUUUAUUCACUAAGUAUUUGACUUGUGUUCAAGUGUUGAGGCCAAGUAAGGAAAGGUGAGAUGGCUUGUUUGGUGAUCAAGGAGAAGGAUAAGAAAGGGGUUCUUAUACUCUUAAACACCUUGAUGCGAAGAGUAGCAUUCCAAUGGAUGAAGGAAGGCAAGGAGCUUAUAGCUUAGGUUUUAUUUUUGUGUCUUGUGAGAAAAUAAAUGUAAUUGUAAAGUAUUAGUUCAAGUAAUAAAAAUAGAGCUGUAUUUUCUAUUUUUCUA